UGAGCAAUCUGCCCUUCACAUCGGAAUAACCAUUGGAAACGAUGGCUAAUACCGAAUAUGACUUCGGAUCGCAUGAUCUGAAGUGGAAAGCUCCGGCGGUGAAGGAUGAGCUCGCGGCCUAUCAGCUUGUUGGUGAGGUAAUGGCUCACCAAGGCAUUGACGGGUAGCCGGCCUGAGAGGGUGACCGGCCACACUGGGACUGAGACACCGGCACGA
rnacentral:rRNA from 1 species